AACGAACGCUGGCGGCAUGCCUAACACAUGCAAGUCGAACGAGACCUUCGGGUCUAGUGGCGCACGGGUGCGUAACGCGUGGGAAUCUACCCUUGGGUUCGGAAUAACAGUUAGAAAUGACUACUAAUACCGGAUGAUGACGUAAGUCCAAAGAUUUAUCGCCCAAGGAUGAGCCCGCGUAAGGUUAGCUUGUUGGUGGGGUAAUGGCAUACCAAGGCGACGAUCUUUAGCUGGUCUGAGAGGAUGAUCAGCCACACUGGGACUGAGACACGGCCCAGACUCCUACGGGAGGCAGCAGUGGGGAAUAUUGGACAAUGGGCGAAAGCCUGAUCCAGCAAUGCCGCGUGAGUGAUGAAGGCCUUAGGGUUGUAAAGCUCUUUUACCAGGGAUGAUAAUGACAGUACCUGGAGAAUAAGCUCCGGCUAACUCCGUGCCAGCAGCCGCGGUAA
rnacentral:rRNA from 1 species